rnacentral:rRNA from 1 species
GAUGAACGCUAGCGGGAGGCUUAACACAUGCAAGUCGAGGGGCAGCAUAGGGUAGCAAUACUCUGAUGGCGACCGGCAAACGGGUGAGUAACGCGUAUGCAACCUACCCUGUACAGGGGGAUAACCCGGAGAAAUUCGGACUAAUAUCCCGUAAUAAUAUCCGGAGGCAUCUUUGGAUAUUUAAAGUUCCGACGGUACGGGAUGGGCAUGCGUAACAUUAACUGGUUGGUAAGGUAACGGCUUACCAAGGCUAUGAUGUUUAGGGGUCCUGAGAGGGUGGUCCCCCACACUGGUACUGAGACACGGACCAGACUCCUACGGGAGGCAGCAGUGAGGAAUAUUGGUCAAUGGGCGCAAGCCUGAACCAGCCAUCCCGCGUGCAGGAAGACGGCCCUAUGGGUUGUAAACUGCUUUUCCAGGGAGAGAAACUUACGCACGUGUUGCGUGACUGACGGUACCCUGGGAAUAAGCAUCGGCUAACUCCGUGCCAGCAGCCGCGGUAAACACGGAGAGUA